rnacentral:rRNA from 1 species
GGUUUUCGGAUCGUAAAGCUCUGUUGUUAGGGAAGAACAAGUGCAAGAGUAACUGCUUGCACCUUGACGGUACCUAACCAGAAAGCCACGGCUAACUACGUGCCAGCAGCCGCGGUAAUACGUAGGUGGCAAGCGUUGUCCGGAAUUAUUGGGCGUAAAGGGCUCGCAGGCGGUUUCUUAAGUCUGAUGUGAAAGCCCCCGGCUCAACCGGGGAGGGUCAUUGGAAACUGGGAAACUUGAGUGCAGAAGAGGAGAGUGGAAUUCCACGUGUAGCGGUGAAAUGCGUAGAGAUGUGGAGGAACACCAGUGGCGAAGGCGACUCUCUGGUCUGUAACUGACGCUGAGGAGCGAAAGCGUGGGGAGCGAACAGGAUUAGAUACCCUGGUAGUCCACGCCGUAAACGAUGAGUGCUAAGUGUUAGGGGGUUUCCGCCCCUUAGUGCUGCAGCUAACGCAUUAAGCACUCCGCCUGGGGAGUACGGUCGCAAGACUGAAACUCAAAGGAAUUGACGGGGGCCCGCACAAGCGGUGGAGCAUGUGGUUUAAUUCGAAGCAACGCGAAGAACCUUACCAGGUCUUGACAUCCUCUGACAACCCUAGAGAUAGGGCUUUCCCUUCGGGGACAGAGUGACAG